rnacentral:rRNA from 1 species
UUCCAACGGUACAAGAUGAGCAUGCGUCCCAUUAGCUAGUUGGUGUGGUAACGGCAUACCAAGGCAACGAUGGGUAGGGGUCCUGAGAGGGAGAUCCCCCACACUGGUACUGAGACACGGACCAGACUCCUACGGGAGGCAGCAGUGAGGAAUAUUGGUCAAUGGGCGCAAGCCUGAACCAGCCAUGCCGCGUGCAGGAUGACGGUCCUAUGGAUUGUAAACUGCUUUUGUACAGGAAGAAACCCUCCCUUGUAAGGGAGCUUGACGGUACUGUAAGAAUAAGGAUCGGCUAACUCCGUGCCAGCAGCCGCGGUAAUACGGAGGAUCCAAGCGUUAUCCGGAAUCAUUGGGUUUAAAGGGUCCGUAGGCGGUUUUAUAAGUCAGUGGUGAAAUCUGGUCGCUCAACGAUCAAACGGCCAUUGAUACUGUAAGACUUGAAUUACUUGGAAGUAACUAGAAUAUGUAGUGUAGCGGUGAAAUGCUUAGAGAUUACAUGGAAUACCGA